AACAGGCACCCUGUCUCGAAAGAGCAUCAAGGCCCCUGCCACACCCGCCUCCGCCACCUUGGGGAGACCACCCCGGAUUCCCGAGCCAGUGCACCUGCCGGUGGUGCCCGACGGCAGACUCUCCGCCGCCUCCUCUGCGUUUUCCCUGGCCUCGGCCGGCAGCGCCGAAGGUGUCGGUGGGGCCCCCACGCCCAAGGGGCAGGCAGCACCUCCAGCCCCACCUCUCCCCAGCUCCUUGGACCCACCUCCUCCACCAGCAGCCGUCGAGGUGUUCCAGCGGCCUCCCACGCUGGAGGAGUUGUCCCCACCCCCACCGGCCUUUCUGCUUUUCCCCCAAGACGAAGAGCUGCCCCUGCCACUGGACCUGCCUCCUCCUCCACCCCUGGAUGGAGAUGAAUUGGGGCUGCCUCCACCCCCACCAGGAUUUGGGCCUGAUGAGCCCAGCUGGGUGCCUGCCUCAUACUUGGAGAAAGGUACCUGACUUCUGGGACUGAGGGGCACCGGAUCCCACUUCCUCUGUUGCCCUGAUCCCCAUUCUCCUCCCUCUGCAAAGGUGUGAAUCUAUCCCCCGGGCCCCCCACACAAUUUUUCUGACGAACUGACAGAACUGGGGAGAGGGCAGCUGGCCUGGUAUUAAAUAUUAACUAAGCUGGGGAGGGGUCCUGAAGGCUUGCAAGAAGGCCCCCAAGAUGGCCCCUAGAGUCUAGUACUUGAGACCGUGCAUCCCCAUGGUGGUGGGGGGUGAGGGGGAGAGGGCAAGAGGCAUUAUCUCACGGCACCCUCUUCUCUUGCCCUGCAGUGGUGACACUG
rnacentral:lncRNA from 1 species